UACGUAGGGUGCGAGCGUUGCCCGGAUUCACUGGGCGUAAAGGGUGCGCAGGCGGCCGUGUGUGUGAGGCGUGAAAGCCCGAUGCUUAACAUCGGAAUUGCACCUCAAACUACACGGCUAGAGCAUUGGAGAGGGUAGCGGAAUUCACGGUGUAGCAGUGAAAUGCGUAGAUAUCGUGAGGAACACCAGAGGCGAAGGCGGCUACCUGGACAAUUGCUGACGCUCAGGCACGAAAGCGUGGGGAGCAAAAGGG
rnacentral:rRNA from 1 species